rnacentral:rRNA from 1 species
AACGGCCGUACCAUGCUGAAUAUACCGGUUCUCGUUAGAUCACCGAAGUCAAGCAUCAUUGGGGGCGGUUAGUACUUGGGUGGGUGAUCACCUAGGAACUCCGCGUGCAGU